AACUCUGACCUUUGUCAAUGACUUGUCCAUUAGAUAAGGGAUCAUAUAUUCCUCCAUUCUAGAUAUCAUAUGGACUGAGACAUGGAUUAUAAUCAUUCUCUCUGUCCAUUUGUUGUUUCCCGAUUUCCGAUUUAUGACGACUGACUAAUUGAACAAAUCAAAUCAGUCCUGGCCCGGCCGAGCACUUCCAUUUGUCAUCAUCAAAUCAUCGAGGGGCCCACAGAUAUCGCUUUUAUCCCGAAGGUAAAAGGAAUGGAUAAACUUCGACUCAUAUGGCUUUUUCUACUACUUGUUGAAUCAUACACAAAGGCACGUUUUAUAACACCGAGUUACUGAGUGCGUUUUCGUUCAAUCAAUGUACAACCAACUCAUAGUAACAACUCAUAUCUCUAGGUUUGAAGAAUAUAAGAUAUUAUCGUCUCAUGAUCACUCGUGAUGAAAUCCAUGAAGUGAUUCCAAUGAGCGCGGGUUGAAUCCAAUACUCAGAACUUAUGAGCACUCAUGAGUGUUAUAGCCCUUUGUCCAACAUCUUAGACCUCUACAAGCCAACCCAUGACAGGCUUAAUUCAUAUCUACUUCCAACAUAUGAACGACUGUGGAUGGUUUGAAUAGCUUGGUCAUUCAGGAAGAACAACCUAGUUAUUCUGGAAGUCAAAACAUGCAAAAUGAAACACAAUAAUAAUAGAAUCUAAUAUGGUAUCAAAACCUAUGAAUAUAAAUAAAACACCUUUUAUUUAUGACCAUAUGACUACACAUUAUUCAUUGUAUACUGUUUCAUCUAUCAACUUUAUUCUUGAAUUUAAAACAAUAGUUGUCACAUGCUCCAAGCAGGUACUCUAUGUUUUCUAAACACUAGUCAUGCCAUACACCAAGUAUGCAUACUAUGUUUGUCUAUGAUCUUUACUUUGCGAAAUAGAUCAAUUGAACAUAAGUCCAAUGAUCCUCUUUUCAUAGUGCCAAAUCCUUACUGCAAAUGCAAGAAUUCCAAAUUCAUGCCAUUUACUGAAAUCUGUUAGAUUCUAAACUUAUAUGCGUUGAUCCUCUUCUAAUGAUUGUGCACAAAGUCAGAAAGACUUGACAACAAUCAUUACAGAGUAUUCCAAAGGAGAUUAGCUCCUUGGAAACAUCCUUCUUGCAUUAAGUUUCCUAAUCCUACACAGAUUUAAUAAUUUCUAACUUUGAAACAUUUCCAGACUCCAUUUUGACUAUCACUUCUGAAUAAGAGUUGCUUCCUUACAGAUUAUGUCAAAAUGAUCCUUCCAGAAUUAUCACUAUGCUUCCAAUUGUCCUUGAGCAACCAAUCUUUGGUAAACCUUAGAUUGUCCUCGACAAUUGUUUAAUCCUUUUAGUCAUAUCCAGUUCUAAACCUUUUCCCUUCUUAAUGCCCCAGGCAUUUGGAAAAUUUUAGAACGGAUGAAUAUAGCACAUGUAAUCGAUCCUAUAUCCGAAGCAUAUGGGACACGAUUCAUGAUGUCUCACAUAAAGACUAAACCAGUCUUUUGCUAUAAUAUUUCCAUUUCAAUUUGCCAAGUUCUCAUAAUUCAGAUUAUGAAAAGGGAUGCCGUAAUCAUAAUCGAAUUUUAGAACGCAAAUAAUGGACCCAUAUACAGAAUUUCCUUAUGUUGAGCCAUUCCAACAUGAAAUUCAUAUAUAUCCUUGACUAAAUGAUUAAAACCUCACGAUCUAAGCUUAUAGAUUUGAGAUGAAGCAUAAUUUCCUCUCCCUUAAUUAUAGCAAAACAACUUUUUCCCAAUUGAAACUUUUGUUUUCUAUAAUUAACAUUGCUAACUUGCAAUACUUAUCAUAAUUAUCAUGCUCCCACUAACAUGAUGAUUAUUAGCAUAACACUUAUGCUCCCACUAGCUUUGACAUGUACUCAGAAAUCAGCUGACUUUCUUACCAAAGUUCAGAUUUCUGAUACUAGAUUGUUUUGAUAAAACUUUAUCAAAAUCAUACACCUUCCCUUAGAUAGCACACUUGUGUGUCUAAACAAUUAUGAAGAGGGAUGCCGUAAUCAUAAUGGUUAGACCUUUUUGCCACUUCUCACAAGUCCAUGUUAGUGUGCCGGUUAACCACACACGCUCCACUAACGACUUUGAGAAUGCAAAUAUCACAAUUGCUAUCUAGCUAAAAUCUACUUAGUGAAAGUGUUUCCUCACCAUCAUUUUCAUGAAUCGGAGAGAAACCUUAUGACACUUAGAUUUAAUGGUGUAUGUGUUCUUAUCCAUGUGAAUUGUCAAAACCAUAGUCACAAGACAAGGAUAAUGACAAAUCCAAACUCAUAUGGACUGAACUCAAUCUUAAUUUCUUGCCACCUGGCAGCUCAAGGGCCUGCCAUUGCUUCCAAGUUGUUGUGCAACCAAUUGAGAACUCUAAGAACUCAUAUGCAAAGCCAACUUUAACUGGAAUGGGCACAGAAUAUGUCAACACGAUAGGUUAUAAACCUCAAGUCGUGUGCUAGUGAAGAACUUCAGGUUUUAUUCUUGAUUAGUUCUUGAGACUUUCAAGACCUUUAAGACUCCCACUGUCCUCUUGACAUAUAAGACUCCCUUGUCAAACAUCCAAGAGAUAGUGUGGAUUCUAAUCAAGACAAACACUUCACACAAUUGGCCUUAGUUGGUCUUUGUUUUAUCCAAAACAUCACAACUUACCAAUUUCAAAUGUACAAGAGUAGAAAACUUUUACUCUUACAUUUGACAAGUGUUUUAAAACUUCUUUAAGACGUGUCACUCAAGUUACAAUCUUAGGGUAUGACUCUAAGACUUGUAUUGGAAAAAAGUAUGACUCAUCUCCUUGAUUUAACCAUUUCAACAAUUCAAGUUCCUCUUCUUAGUCAUCAGAAUGCACUAAGAUUUCCUUAGAGAACUAAUUUUGAUAUGGUUUCUUAAUCAUUAAGAUGAUCAAAAAAACUGAUACUAAAGUACUCUCCCAUCUUUUCAGAUUUGAGAAACUUUUAUCCUGCUGCCUAAUUUGAUUCUUCUUAUUCGCUCUGCCUUACAUUGGAACCUUUUCCAAUGUCUCAGAAUUAAACUUAAGCUUUUAAGUAUAACCAUACUGAGCUUUAGCAAAUUAUGACGAAUAAUCUUAUCGAUCUUUUGUGGUGGACUUGACCAGGGCACAAGAAUGUGUACUUGAUCCCUUAGUCCUUAACAUGACUCACACAUCCAUGUGAACAAGUAAUUAGUCUUAAUUUUCCAAUACUUGAAAGUUCUCAUUCAUCAUGCUAUACAACUUGCAUGAUUCCAAGUUCCGGUCCAAUUGAAACUUGGGUGAUGAGAAUCUUUCCUUAUUUGGUAAAUUUAGACAUUACCACAAAUGAAAGAAUCAAUUUCAUAUUUCCACCCUUGCUAUUAAUGGAAUCUUAUAAGCAACAAAAAUUUCCACAGAUGCCAUUGUAAGGAUAUUUUUAAAAUAAAUAAAAUCAAAAUUUUCCUUUUAUUUUAAAACUUUGCGAAAAAAACUAUCCUUACAGUGCAAAAGCACAUGAAAUCUUUGGUGCUAUCCAUUCCUAAGGAAUAUAUCAUAACUCCUAAGAAGUAGCUCAAGAAUCCGAUCUUCAAACCAUGCGAUAGAAAUCCAUCUACGCGAUCAGAUUCAGCAUAUUCUUUCUUUAAGUUUCUUCAAUUUUUCUUUGAUUCUUAAACAUCAACAUGUGACCCAGUCACAUCAUGUAUCAAGAAUCUCAGAAUGGAAACUUAGCAGAGUUAGAUAGUGGACUUUACCUGAAGUAGAGUAAAACUUAUUGACUUUUAACAUCCUUAGGGGAAUUUGUCAGCUUUGCAACCAAUGCCCAUUCCUAUGGCAACAUAACAUAUGGACCCUUUGGUAAUGGUACAUAGGACUAUCACAGCGUUAGCCUUUCUCUUUACCAUUUGGUCAACUGAGUUGACUAUGGUCGAUCCCUUUCCACUAGGAAGAGAGAGCUUUACUAGAUAUCCAAUGUCAUCAUUGUCAAUGUCCACUAAGUUUUAGGAAGUUGAUCUUAGCAAAUAGAUAAGAUCAUUAAGGGUCUUGUCAUAGUCUAUUUGAUAUGUGUUCCAAAGGAACUCACUAUGUGACUUAGAAAGUGAUUGAACCACCAACUUUCUCAAGACUUUGACACCCAACUCUCCCGGCUUGUCAAUAUGUGACUUCAUCUCCAAGAUGUGAUCACACCUAGACCUUGCCUUGCCACUAGGGAUUGAGUGACCUUAAACUUUUCAGGAACUUGUGGGUUAGGGAGAAUAAUUGGAGGAGGUGAAAGAAGUAAGAUUUCCAUGGGACAUCAUCUUCAUUUAGGAAAGCCUAGUUUCAAGAGAUUUGGGAAGAUCAUAGAUGUCUAAACCAGACAUCUUUUGGGAGAUAUUCAAGAUAGUUGAUUUAAAGUCCUUAAUAUAACACCNGACACCCAAUAUGAAAUAUUAAGGCUAGGACCCAACAAACUAUUUUAUAACUGAGAAGAGGGAUGCCGUAAUCCAAGCUAUAAAAUAUUUGAAGGUAGGUGAAUGACGAUUCACCAAUUUCCACCAAGAUAAACGAAAUGUAUUAUUAGGUUUUAAUUGGAUUUGAAACUCCUAGAUCUUUUGAGAUUCAUUGAAUUGUUCAAUGGCAUGUUUCAAUCUCGAGUGUGCCCUUCAGGUUUUGUGACUGGGAUGCCGAGGAUCACAAAACAAGGUGUGAAGUAACCAUGCAAAUUACUUGGUACCCUUAAGUGUUUACCCCUCAAUCGAUGUGNNNNNNNNNNNNNNNNNNNNNNNNNNNNNNNNNNNNNNNNNNNNNNNNNNNNNNNNNNNNNNNNNNNNNNNNNNNNNNNNNNNNNNNNNNNNNNNNNNNNNNNNNNNNNNNNNNNNNNNNNNNNNNNNNNNNNNNNNNNNNNNNNNNNNNNNNNNNNNNNNNNNNNNNNNNNNNNNNNNNNNNNNNNNNNNNNNNNNNNNNNNNNNNNNNNNNNNNNNNNNNNNNNNNNNNNNNNNNNNNNNNNNNNNNNNNNNNNNNNNNNNNNNNNNNNNNNNNNNNNNNNNNNNNNNNNNNNNNNNNNNNNNNNNNNNNNNNNNNNNNNNNNNNNNNNNNNNNNNNNNNNNNNNNNNNNNNNNNNNNNNNNNNNNNNNNNNNNNNNNNNNNNNNNNNNNNNNNNNNNNNNNNNNNNNNNNNNNNNNNNNNNNNNNNNNNNNNNNNNNNNNNNNNNNNNNNNNNNNNNNNNNNNNNNNNNNNNNNNNNNNNNNNNNNNNNNNNNNNNNNNNNNNNNNNNNNNNNNNNNNNNNNNNNNNNNNNNNNNNNNNNNNNNNNNNNNNNNNNNNNNNNNNNNNNNNNNNNNNNNNNNNNNNNNNNNNNNNNNNNNNNNNNNNNNNNNNNNNNNNNNNNNNNNNNNNNNNNNNNNNNNNNNNNNNNNNNNNNNNNNNNNNNNNNNNNNNNNNNNNNNNNNNNNNNNNNNNNNNNNNNNNNNNNNNNNNNNNNNNNNNNNNNNNNNNNNNNNNNNNNNNNNNNNNNNNNNNNNNNNNNNNNNNNNNNNNNNNNNNNNNNNNNNNNNNNNNNNNNNNNNNNNNNNNNNNNNNNNNNNNNNNNNNNNNNNNNNNNNNNNNNNNNNNNNNNNNNNNNNNNNNNNNNNNNNNNNNNNNNNNNNNNNNNNNNNNNNNNNNNNNNNNNNNNNNNNNNNNNNNNNNNNNNNNNNNNNNNNNNNNNNNNNNNNNNNNNNNNNNNNNNNNNNNNNNNNNNNNNNNNNNNNNNNNNNNNNNNNNNNNNNNNNNNNNNNNNNNNNNNNNNNNNNNNNNNNNNNNNAUGUGACUCUUCAUGUAACUUGAGGACAAGUUACACAAACACAUUUUAUACUCAACUCUUAGAUUAAAAUGGAUUGAAAACAACUAUAUCAAUUAACUUUUCUAUUAAUCUAAGCAACUCAUAAGAACAAGAUAAUUCAAAUCAAACUUUUUCAUGUAAUUAGUCUAAACCUUAAACUAAUACAAAACAUGAAUCUAUUGACAAUUAUCUUUGAAAUUGGAUUAGCAUGAACAUUACCACAUCAAAAACAAGUUUGUAAGGUCAAAAACAGCUUAUGGUAAUGUUCCUAGUCCAAUUCCAGCCAAAAACCACGAAGAUAUGUUGUUUGGAGGCCAAACUCGUCGAGUUCUUCAUGGAACUCAUCGAUUUCAUGCUCCAAUACAUGAACUCGUCGAGUUUUCUACCAGAACUCGUCGAGUUUUAGGCUCUGACAAUUUCUUGGCUUCGAAAAAUCUAUUUGCAUCAAGUAUAAGACAAAGCAUGCCGAGGCUCUAAUACCAAUGUUGGGUUUUGAGCAUUCUAACACUCCUAUGUGUACAUGCAACCCUAAAUACCUUGGAUCUAUGUUUUCUCUAUUAUACAUACAAAUAUGAACAUCCAAGGUAUUAUCCUCAUCUAAGCUAUAAAACAAUGAAUAUAACAAGAUAGAAUACAUACCUCUUUGAUGUAGAAUGUCUUCAUGAAGCUUGAGUGCCAAGUGCCUCAAGUGUGACACCUAAAAUGGUUCACACAACACCAAAUACACAUGGAAAAACUUGAGAGAAAUCUACACUUCAUGAAAUCGGCUAGCCCUUCUAUUACACUCACUAGUGCCGAUUUUGGUGAAUAAUAUGAUGCUUAUAUAGUGUCUAACAAUUAGGGUUACACCAUGUAAACCCUAAUUGUCAUGACCUUUCAUUUCCAUGACCCAUGGGUUAUGUAACCUCUAUGGAGCAUUCAUGGAGUAUCCUAUGGGUUUAACCCAACUUGAUUAUCCAUGGAGCUUUGGCCCACUAUAUAAGUUAUGGAUUAUUUGCACAAUCAACCCAUAUAUUUAAUUAGUCUUCUUUUGAUCACAUAAUUAACUCUAAAUUAGUUCUUGAUCAAUACUAAUUAAAUACUAUUAUUCUUAUUAUUAAUAUACUAGAACUUAUAAUAUAUUAAUAACCAUAAGUGUCUUAUUUCUCUCAUUUAGUCUAUCCAAAUGCAUGAUGCCAUGCAACCUAAAUGGAUCAUGACGGGUCAGGUCAAGUCUUACCAAUUAUAGUUAUGGACUUAGACAUUAAUCCAACAGUAAAAACUCAAACUCUACCACCACAUGCUGCCACCAACCACCUGUAUCAUGUAACACCCCAAUUCUGGUAUGUUAUUUAAAUAGUUAUUUUUCAAGUUUCAAGAGGAACUAGACGAGUCAGUAGCCAGACUCGUCGAGUUGAGUCGGGAUUUUGAGCACGUGUAAGUUGGGGACUCGACGAGUCCAUAUUUCGGACUCGGCGAGUCCGCCAGCCUGGAUGAAACCCUACUUUCAAGGGUUUUCACCCUAUUUAAUCAACUUUUGGGACCCCAAGUCAGCCCCCAUCACCCUCCAUAGCAUCCUUCUCGAAACCCUAGAACUCUAUUAGCAUUUUGUGUGAUUUGGUGUGAUUCUAUGAAGAUCUUGAGAGAAGAAGGAAGGUAGAUCAAGAGGAGAAGAAGGAGAUCCAAGAUCCUUGUGGCAUUUCAGAGUAUAGUAAGGUAUAACUCGACCCUUUUCUGUUUCUAGGCUUUAAUCCCCAUUGGAACACCAUUAAAGCUAUUCUUGAACCGUUUAUUGGCUUGGUAGUAGCAUAGACGACACAUUGAGAUGAAUAGCCUUUGGAUCUAGCUAUGUUUGAGUUCAUGAAGCCUAGAUCUAAUACCUUUAUGGGGCCAUAUUGCAUGAAAGCCCUAGAUCUACUCUUAUAAGUGUGAUUUGAGACUUAAACCUUCAUUUGGUGUUUGUUUACACGUAAAGUUGGAAACUUUACGUGUUAAACAAGCCCUUAGAACCCAGAUCUACGAAUGGUAUGAACUGGAUUCAAGCAGAAUUGAGUAUAUAGUGGUUGCAUGUAUACGACUCGGAGAGUCGUUCUUCAGACUCGACGAGUCGAGUCGCGAGUCCUCUGUUUUCCCCUUUUCGAGUUAUGCCGAGUGGAGCUAGUGAGUGAGAGUGGACUCAGUGAGCUGGAGGUUAGAAUCAUUCAUGGAAGGGCUCAGCGAGUCAAUGCCCUAACUCGGCGAGUUCAAGGCAAUCUUCAUGCCUCAAGAACAGACUCGGCGAGUUGUUCAUACAACUCUGCGAGUCACAGCCAGAGUAUUCAUCUGAUGAAGGAGAACUCAGCGAGUUGUUCAUACAACUCGGCAAGUCGGAUGUAGAUUGUCUGAGUGUUAGUAUCGAAGCGGAACUCACCGAGUCUAUGCCAAACUUGACGAGUAGUAGCGAGCAGAGCAAGAAGGUGAGAGUAAGGACUCGACGAGUCAGGUCAACUGAAUGUUGACUUUGACCGAUAGGUUAACUUUGGCCAGGGUAAGAUAGUCAUUUUACGCUCAGUAUUAUUAUCAGUAUUUUGAUUGAGGGUACUUAUGGAAAGUGUAGCCGGGGUGAAACCGGAUCCCAGCAGACAAAUUCGGGAGCAGUUCUUUCAGCAGCUAGGCUACGAGGUGAGUUUCCUUUCAGUAGGAACGGGUCUAAGGCCACAAUGACGGACCGUUUAGCUAGCACUAGUUUACGGACUUCGGUCCGAUACAAUAGUUCGUAUGUUUGAUGCCUUCGUGGCUCAGACAGGAUUUAUGUGUUAUGUGUUCUGGACUAUGGCCCGAUGCAGUAUGCAGUUAUGUGUUCAUGCUAGUUGAUAUGUUUAUGCUAUGCUAUGUUAUGCUCAGUCAGCUUCCGGACUCUGGUCCGAUGCAGAAGGCAAGGCCCUGGUUAGUUCCGGACUUCGGUUCGAUGCAGUUAGUUCUGGACUCGGUCCGAUGCAGGGGACAAGGUCCUAGACAGUUCCGGACUUCGGUCCGGUGCAGUUUCCGAGCUUUGGUCUGAUGCAGAGGGCAAGGCCCUGGUUAGUUCCGGACAUCGGUCCGAUGCAGUGGGCAAGACCCAGUAUGUGUUAUAUGUUAUUGUAGGGUAUGUGUUAGUAUGGGGGAGCUCACUAAGAUUUGUGCUUACAGUUUCAGUUUUGGCUUCAGGUACUUCCGCAAGUAAAGGGAAGAGCUUGGGAUGAUGGCAUUGCACACACCACAACUUCAGUCUUAUUCCUGGUAGUUUGUUUUGGUUUCAUAGUUUGUUUUGGCACAAAUGUUCAUGACAUUUUAUUAUGAGUUGAGAUAUUUGACAUAUGGUUUCAUGAUAUGACGAUCAGUAUAUGAUUUUUAUUAUUAUUAAAACAAAAUUUUUGGGUCGUAUUUUUGGAUGUUACAAGUUGGUAUCAGAGCCUUGGUUUGAGAGAUUUACGCACACUCUCGGGUGUGACUGGACUCAAACUGAGGAAAUGGUAGAAGGAUUUUCACAAGUAUUUUCAAAGGGAUUUUUGAAAAAAAACUUAAAAGGGAGAAAGAGUUUUGAGAAAAGAAAAAGGGUGUGGUGCAUGCGAUCAGCCGAGCUCAAGUAAGUACUCCCAAAUUACCCAUACAAGUUUAUGUUAUUAUUAUCAGUUUCAGUUUCAAUAGAACAGCAUGCUAGAAUAGGACUAAGGAUGUAGGAGGUUGCCUUAUGUGCAUGCUAUGUGUGUUUCAGCUUUAUGAGAAUUGCAUGCUAGUUGAAUAGACAACAAUAGGAUAGCAUGUUUAGGCUAUGCCUGAUAGUAUGAUCUUAGCAUUUUAUGCCAGUAUAGUUCCUUGUUAUGAGGACAGAAUUACUUGAGUAGUUUCCUGUGUCAGAAUGUUGCUUGCUUUGUGCUUUGUGGGGCUCUAAGUGAUGGGAGUUAGCCGUUAGGUGAAUACGUCACGUCACAUGUGAACAGGGUUGAAUAAUCUCAGAGUGCUAGAUUUGGCCCUAUUGCGCAGCUCUUGUAUGUGUAUAACCGUUGUAAGGACGAGCCUUUUACUCGAGGGAUUAUCUGGACCUCGCCACAUGUGAUGGUAUUCAGGUGAUGGCCAAUUGGCAUUACAAGGAGGCCUUCAGUAGCUGAGGACUGGAUUGGAUAGAGUCAGAGAUUUCCCUAGGGCAAGCCUAGGAUGGGAGUAGCAGAGAUUAGUAGUAGUAGAUGUGACUUGGUAGAGUCAAGGCAAUACUUGAGGAAAGUGCGGAUAGAUAUGGAAGGUAGUAUGGGCCCGUACUACUGAAAGCAGAAGAUCCGUACUCGAAUCAAGGAAAGCUGAGAUGAGACCAGGAAAUUUUUAAUAGUAGUGAUCCCUCGAGAUAUAUUUAUGUUCCUGAAGUUUAUUAUGAUGUGUUUUCAGAAUGGUGGUAUUAUGCCCUCGACCAGUAGUCGGCAGUUCAGGUGCCGAAGGGGGAUCAGGACCAGACCCGGAGGCCGAGCAGUUGGAUGAGCAGAAUAAGGAGUUUCUCUAUUCAAAGAUUACUCGCACCAUACUUGAGCAGACUCCUGUGAUCUUCGGUUCGAUCAAGGAGGUCAUUUUAGAGUUGAUGAACGAGAGGUUGAGCACUUUCUGUGCUGAGGUAGCGGCCAUGAUGGGGUCGCGCACGCUUACUUUCAGGGCAUUUCGGGCAUGUGGAGCUCCAGAUUACCACGGGGCGCAGGACCCCAUAACGAGUACUAGAUGGUUGGCGGAUGUAGACAACGCUUUCUGCACAAGCAGAUGUCCCGAGGGGGACAAGUUCAGAUUGGCGUCCUGUCUUCUGAAGGACAGGGCACAGGAUUGGUGGGAGGAGGUCGGUCAUGCCAUUGGGGAUGACGCAGCUUUGGAUGCUAUGACCUGCGCUGACUUCACUACCAGGUUCAGGGCGGAGUUUGCACUAGUUAUUGAGGUGCAACAGUUGGCCAGAGAGUUUCAGGAUCUUACCCAGACUAUAGAGACAGUGGCGGAGAUUACCGCCAAGUUCAGGGAGAGGGCUCUUCUUGUUCCCCAGUAUGCGACUGAUGAGGAAAUGGAGAAGGCUUGUUAUCAUGAGAUGCUACGGAGUGAUAUCCGCCAGUUCGUGAGCAGGUCCAGCUGUAAAACGUUGGAUGACAUGCUUGCUAGGGCGAGAGAGAGAGAGAGAUAGAGAGAGAGAGAGAGAGAGAGAGAGAGAGAUUGACCUUGAGAUGGAGAGAAAGAGGAAGCCGGAGGCGGCUCCUGGUUCAGGGAGUUUGGGCAAAAAGCCCAAGGGUUCAGAUCACAGAGCUAGGAGUCAGCAGAGCCACGAUCGGUGUGGCAAGUGUGGGAGAUUGCACAAUGGGGCGUGCAAGGCAGGGAGUGCCGGCUGCUACAAGUGUGGCCGGACUUGGCAUAUGAGCAGAGAUUGUACAGCCACUGCUACCACCGUUGCGGCAUCAGAUCUGAUUUGCUUUCAGUGCUAUCAGAGGGGACAUAAAAAUUCCCAGUGUCCGAGUUUAGCUGCUGCGGGGAAGGUGUCAGCACCUGCUCCUGCUACUUUGAGGAUUACAGAUGGCCGUCAGGGCCGAGUCGAGACGCCGAUGGCGAAGAGUAGGGCUUUUCAGCUGACAGCAGAGGAGGCGCGGGCGACUCCUGAUGUGGUGACGGGUAUGUAUUUUCCCCUUAUCUCUGCAUUUAGUAUUGAUUGUUUCUUAUGGUUAUAUGUUUUGAAUAGGGUCGUUCUCAGUGAACGGCAUUUCAGCUACAGUAUUGUUUGAUUCAGGGGCUACCCGAUCAUUCGUCUCUCUUGCGCUUAGCAGGAGGUUUAGCAGAGCUCCAAGGGAGCUAGAUUGUCCACUUGUGGUUAACAUAGCAGCUGAUAGGACCGUUAGGGUUGCAAGGGUACACAGAGGGUGUUCCCUACAGUUAUUCGAUGAGCAGUUUCCGGUGGACAUGGUCCCUAUUCCCCUUCGAGGGAAUUAGGUUAUAGUAGGCAUGGAUUGGCUGAGACCCAAUGGGGCGGUGAUAGAUUGUGAGCUACAGUUGGUGAGGGUUCGCACUGCCAGUGGGGGAGAGUUAGUUAUUCAGGGCGAGAAGCCACAGCACAGACCAGUUCUGUGUUCAGCAGCGAGAGCGAGGCGCUACUUCCAGCAGGGUUGCGUUGGUUAUAUUGCCUAUGUUUUUGAUGCCCGGGAGAAGGGCAAGACGACAGUUGAUGAUGUUCCGGUGGUACGAGACUACCCGGAUGUAUUUCUAGAGGAUUUGCCGGGAAUACCUCCUAAGAGGCAGGUUGAGUUUGGGAUUGAUCAAAUCCCUGGUGCGGCUCCGAUAGCCAAGGCACUGUAUCGGUUGGCUCCCCCAGAGAUGCAGGAGUUGUCUACGUAGCUGCAAGAGCUGCUAGACAAGGGUUUUAUCAGGCCAAGCAGUUCGCCUUGGGGUGCACCGAUUUUGUUUGUAAAGAAAAAGGACGGGUCGCAUCGUAUGUGUAUAGAUUACCGGGAGCUCAAUAAGGUAACGGUGAAGAACCGUUACCCACUUCCGAGGAUAGAUGAUUUGUUUGAUCAGCUUCAGGGAGCAUCUUGGUUCUCCAAGAUUGAUUUACACUCCGGAUAUCAUCAGAUGCGGGUCAGAGGCAAGGAUGUGCAGAAGACUGCUUUCAGGACCAGGUAUGGUCAUUAUGAGUUUGUGGUGAUGCCGUUUGGGCUCACCAACGCUCCAGCCGCGUUCAUGGACCUCAUGAAUCGCGUUUGCAGGCCGAUGCUGGAUCGAUCUGUGAUAGUAUUCAUAGAUGAUAUCUUGUUGUAUUCCAAGACUCAGGAGCAGCACGGGGAGCACCUGAGAGAGGUGAUAGACGUUUUGAGAAGGGAGAGACUUUUCGCAAAGUUCUCCAAGUGCGAGUUCUGGUUGCGCGACGUGCAGUUCCUUGGUCACCUCAUCAACCAGAAGGGUAUUUUGCUAGAUCCGACCAAGAUAGAGGCCGUGAUGCAGUGGGAGGUCCCGAAGUCUCCAUCUGAGAUUCGGAGCAUCCUAGGUUUGGCAGGGUAUUACAGGAGAUUCAUCCAGGAUUUCUCCAAGAUAGCAGUACCGCUCACCCGACUGACCAAGAAGUCGGUAGCGUUUCGUUGGGGGCCUGAGCAGCAGGUAUAUGACUGCUAGUGAAUGCUACGGCUACCCCCGCAGACUUACAACACUACUACUAUCUGAUUGCUAGUGAAUGCUAUGGCUACCCCCGCAAACUUACAACACUCUAGUAUGAAGAGAUUUGUAAUCGAGUUUAAUGAUCAAUUCACAUAAGAAUUAAGAAAGAUGAAAAAGAUGUACACGAGAGUAAAGAUAAUCUUUGUUCAGCUCAUAUUAUGCUUUUAAUUUUACAGAGUACAAAGGAAUUCUCUGUAAAGAUUAUGUUCAAAAGUUCUCAACUCACUUAGUACAGACCCCUAUUUAUAGGAGAACAAAAGCAUAACAAAAUACUAAGGACUAGACAUUAAGACUAUUCAUUAUAAUGCCUUAGUAAAAAUAACAUUACAUCCGAAUACACUACUUACGUAUACUUAAGAUCCUUCAUAACAACCUAACUAACACUUCGACAUAUUACAACAUUUAUACCCUUACAAUCUCCCCCUUUGGAAUAAAGGUCGAAGUCUUCAUGAAGUUAAUAGUUGAACGGCAUACAUCAGCACUCUUCGGAUUUCCAUGUACCAAGAGAUAACUUUCUUUAUCUCCUUCUUGUCUCCUUCUGAAUUCUUCUUGCAAUGAUUCAUACGAACAAUUAAGUUCGUAUAUUGUGAAUUUGUGUAUCUCUCCACUUCAGAAGUUUGAAAUAAAAAUCUUUUAGCUCUCCCAGCUUUGUCUUUUCCUGCAAAGACAAUCCCCAAUGGCUUUAAACAUAUUUCACCGUCUCCGUAUUUUUUCAACUCAGCCUGCUUCUUCGUAGGUGUCAUUGGUGCAGUAAUGUCGAAGCCUUUAACAGUAGCAAGUUCGACAUCAGUUUGAGCUAAGCACUCGAAAUAAUUUUCCAAGAAAAUUUUUAUGUGCCUACACCCAAGACUGAAAACAUCUGGUUCUGUUUCUUGGAGAAAAGAGAAGGACUUGUCUUUAAGUAUCAGAGCAACAUUGAUGAGAUCAUAAGUGUUCAUGAAUGGAAAGUCUGCCACAGUGAACUCUUGUAUCUUUCCACUUGCUCUUGUCACAACAUAUUUCAAAUUCUGAAACUUUCCUUUGAAAAUGACAUCCCUUUUUAUGGGUAUCACCUUCUUAAUCUUCUCCAAGAACCAAACUUCUUCUUGAGCCUUUGCUAACACAGCAUGAAAUUGUAUCUUCAUCUUCUUUCCCUCUUCGACAUCCAUAGACUUUGUCUCAGCUUUGAAUUGUGGCAUAACAAACAUCAUCUCGUUGAUAGGAAAAUCAAGUUGACCAUAAUCAGUAUUUGUCACCACAAAGCUCUUCUUCGGAAUCUUUUCAAAAGAAUACAUGUGAUCGAACAUCACCCUGGAUUCUAUUGUUUCGUAAUUGUAUAUUUUCGAAGGAUCACCCUUAUCAACAUUUGAACCUUCAAGAGCUCUUUGUCGCAUUAUACUUUCAACAUGCCUCAUUCUCUCAACUUCAGCUGCCACUUCAGCUUUCUUCUCUUUGUUGGACUUCUCAACGAAGACUCCUUUUCCCUUGUCUUUAACAUUCGAAGGAGCUACAUUCUUUGAUGAAGAGUCAUCACUUUGUUUCCCGAUUACAAUACCUUUUGCAAUAGGUCUUGAAAUUGGAACAGUUGUAGUCACAGUUGAAAUGACUGGAGCAGCUGAAACAAUUGUUGGCUUUACAACAACUUUCGAAGGAUACACCUUUCCUACUACCUUCGUAUCUUCAGUUGUCUUCUCAUGUUCCCCAGCCUUUGCUUGACCAACCUUUUCUCCCCCUUGCACCCCUGUGACAGCAGGUGGGGCAUCUGAUACGUUUGGCAGAAGGCUUGAAAUGCGAAGUAAUGGAGCAAGGUGUUUUUGUAGGAUGGCUUCGAAAUGAAUGAAUUUUUGAGAAAGAAAUUCUUGAGAAAUAAUUGGAGAAGAAGAUUUCGAAGAUAUUUCUUGAAGUUCUUUCAGCAGUUUCACCAACUCUCCAAAACGUUGUUCUUCUGUGGCUGAAAGAGAGAUCAUCUGAGGGUUGACUUGUUCGAACAUCUUAACACACUGAACAACCGCAUCACAAAUAAUGUCGAUCUUCUGAUCUGCUGAUUCAUAUCCUUGUUGAAUAUUCUGAACCUCCUUCGUCAUUUCUUCACGAAGUUCACGAAUCUGCAUAUUAACGUCUUGUCGAACCUUCUUAACUUCCUGUACAAAGAGCACAUGACGCUUCUUCGUAACUGUCUUUAAAUCCUUCACCUCCUUCAGAAAAUCAUAUCUCAGAGAAUUGAUUCGAUUCUCUGUAGAACUAUCAUUCUGAUCAGUCCUCUCAAGAAUGCGGGUUUCAGAAUCACGUAUUAACCCUGAUGCCUUCGAAAUCACCCUGCUUUCCAUUUCCUUCAUUAUGGAAUCAACUUCCAUGAUAGUGAUUCCAGCACUUCCCACAUCCGCUUGAGAUUGCAAGAUAGAAUUCAAUUUUGAAUUCAAUAUCUUGAACUGCUUCAUCGUCAUCAGCAUAUGGUCAGGGAAAUCUUCUUCAGCUUUAUCAAAGGAAAGAGCUUCGAAUAUUCCUCCAAAUCCUUCGUUAUCAUUUUCCUCAACAACAGCCAUGGUUUCAACAACAGGUGAUGAUGGAUUUGGUGGAUCGGUUGAUUGUGUUGAGAAUAUAGUGGUGAAAGGUUGAUCCAUAAUAGAUUCGAAUGUUGGAGAAUCAGUUGUGGAAGUAACCUGAGGUAAAGACGUUGGUUCAAUGAGCUUUAUAUCAGCAAGCUUCGAAAUUUCAGUAGACUGAAGAACCUCUACUUCUUUAGGAAUUUCAUCUUCAGGAGUCUCAGGAACUUGAUCCACUUCUUCGAUACGUUGGGUUUUCUUUAAAAAUUUCGCCAUAUCUUCAGCCCUUCGUUUCUUAGAAGAUGGAGACACCGGAGCCGGAAUUUCCCGAACUGUGACCCCUUGAUGAGUAACCUGUGUUUUCUUCACCAAUUGAGAUUUUCUCUUGAUUUUUAUUCUUCGAAAAACCCCCGUUUUCGAAGGAAUUGUCUCUUUUGAUGGAGAGGCUUCGAUAACUGGUGUAUCAGCCACUGAAGUUAAAACAGGAGACACCUCUUCGAUAGUUCGAGAUGUAGCUAUUAGCUAUUGAUUCUUUUGUUCUGCUUUCAUCCUUUUUUCCGAAGACUCACCCUCUGUCUUCUUUGAUUUCUUCAAUUUCUUCUUCUCUUCUUGUUGUAACAUCCCAGUAACAACUAUUGUGUCAAUAGAUUGUAAAUAUGACACCAACACAUUAUUCGUGGGAUCCACCUUCUUGAGCAUUGCAUCUGGAAUUCGAGCAAUUGUGGUAAAGAUAGCCAGAUCAUCAUGUACCUCCUUCGGACUACCAUACAUGUGGAAAACUGCUUUCUCUUUGUAAUCCGGAACUCCGAUUUUCUCCUUCUGAUAGACAUAUUGGACUAUCAUACUCCAAUAUCGUGCACAAGAAAUCCCCUACUUAGCACUUGUCUUCGAAAUACUUGUUAUGAACUCUGUCCAUAAUUGCUCAGAAUAAUCAACUUGCAAAUCGUAGUAUAACCCAACUACCAUUGCAUAAACCUCCAUCCUUCCUUAUCGAGCCCNCAGUUCUUCCAGUAAGACAUCUAAGAAAGAUGCCAAAUAAAAAGUUCCAGAUUGUUGGUAACCCCGACUUCUUGAAGUCACUAAUACGCGUCAAUGGAGGUUGAUGACGCAUCUCAUUGAACAUAAACACCACUUAUGAAGAAGUAAGUUCAUCAUAAGGGACAGAAUUCGGAAUUCCCAAAAUCUUGCAAAACAACCACUUGGAGACCAUAAUUCUUGUAUCUGUAACCAUUGUGAAUUCCACACACCCAGUCUCCUUGUUAUAUGAUGUAGUAGAACCUGCCUUUGAUAACCAGGACAUCGGAGCAGCAAAUGAAUCAAACAUUGCUUUAGACAGAACAAAAUUCUGUAAAGCAACCACCAGCAUAUGAAGUUCCUCCGGAUACUUUGACAAAUCCGAUUCGACUUGGUAGUUGGAACCCUGGAUCUUCAGAAUCGGAACACUGAUGAUUUCAUCUGUAGUUGGUGAUGAAGUAGUCGCCAUUGAAGAUGAUUGGAGUAAAGAACGUAUGAAGAAUAUGAAUUGCAAAGAGAAUUUUGUGUUGCAGAGAGUUUGAUCACGUAAAGUGUUAUUGAGUUCUGAUUUGCCCUUUUAUAUGUAACCCUAGAAUUUUGAAUUUGAAGCGGGAUGCAUUAAAUGCUUGCUGACAUGGCACCUUGAAAAACGGAAUGUACUCAUCAAAAAGUAACAAUCGUAACUGUCAACACGCCUUACACGCUUAUCAUACACCAUGCGUCAUCAAGAGAUAAGACUGUUUGAUCUUCCCCAAAAGAAUUGUAACCGUCGGAUACCUUCGGAAUAGAGGUUAGGCUCUUUCACUUUGAGGUUUAAAAAGCGAAGUCAUUUGCCAGAAUUUCGAAAUCAUCAGUUUAAGUUGGUGUUACUCAAACCUCAAGGAUUUCGUGUGUGCUGUGUUCCGAAAGAAAUUAGAUGAGAAACAAAGAAAAUUUUUUUUUGGAAAACUUGUGAUGUCAACAAUUUCUUUUGACACAAAAACAAUUUUAUCCCAGGCAAAGAUAUCUUCGAAAAUUAUCAAGAGAGAUAAUUAACAGCUUGUUUGGUUUCCCGUGAAUUACAAUCGAUAACUUGUAGAGAAGUUUCGAAGGGUUUCUUUUAUAGGUCAAAUGGGUGGCUUCGAAAAUUUCGUUACAUAUCAACCUUAAAAUAAGGUGAGAAAUUGUAAACAAAAUUAGUUGUAUAACCAAUGUAGUUAGUGACAACUUGGUUGCGAAUGAUAUUCAAAGUAACUUAGAAUUUUGAAAAUAUACUCACACGGAAAUCAUAUUCAUAAAAACAUUUAUGCUGGAUCUUGUUGGGAACAAACAUCGUAGUUUUCGAAUGUUUGAUUAAGAUCACUCAAAAGAAAUGAAUAGGAUUUGGAGUAUAAAAGGUACUGAAGCAAAAGCUUCGUAAGAUCUGGAACAUGGUUCCCCGUCAAUUCCUUAAGGUUUAUAAGAUUUUGGGUUUCACUUCUAUCACGGACUCAUGAUAUUAGAUCAUAAACACAGAGUUGUGAUUUGUCUAGGUUUUGAUUGGUUUGAUCAAAGACCUCAAGGACAAAUUGCUUCGAAUAUUUGGAAUGUAAGAAUUGUUUGGUUUAAAAAGAUUGGAUAAGAAUCGAAGGGUACCUCUGUUAUAAUGGACAAAACAGAAAACUCUUAACUCAUUUGAGAAGAGUAAGGUAGCUCUUGUUGAUUUAUGCAAAUACAAGCCUUGUUGGGAAGAAAUUUUCAUGAGAUAAUUUCAUCAAGGCUUUCAUUUCCCAUACAUAGAAUCAUACGAGACUUGAGACAACAUGCAGCAGCAUGCCUCUAGGGACACCCUAACUAAUCCAAAGUGUAUCGAGAUCAUACCUUUCGUUCGAAACCAGUUGCAUGAAUCCUUCGUAUUUGAAACUUGACAAAACUCACAACACACAUGUUAAAACCGAAAAAAAAUAAAAGAUAUUUUUGAAAUUUUUGAAAUUUUUCAGAAAAAUUAAAGACAAACUGAAACAAAAUCUUUUUGGAUUUUUGAUUUUUCAAUAAAAGAAAAUAUUUUUGAUUUUUCAGGUUUUUCAUAAAAAAAAUUAAACAAACUAAAAAUCUAACCUUAGUUGAAAUGUGUACAAAUACGAAGCAUUCGAACCGUUGACUUGAACAGUAAUCUCUGAUUUUGUUAUUUCAAUAAGAAGUAAAUCUUCCGAAUGCGAAGCGUUCGAAGCGUUGACCAUGAACAGUAACCUCUGAACACUGAAUCACCCUUUCCUUCCAUACACCAAAUGAUUCAGACCCAUCACUCUUCGCUUUUAUCCAAUUGAAGUGAAUUUCCAUUAAUCAUUCCCAAUCCUUCUAAGAUACGAAGAAACGAUUUUUCAUCCAAAGCCUUUGUAAAAAUAUCUGCCAAUUGUUCCGUUGUUUUUACAAAAUGAACUUCAAUAUUUCCUUCUUCAACAUGAUCUUUAAUGAAGUGAUAUCGAAGAGCAAUGUGUUUGGUCUUCGAAUGCUGCACAGGAUUACGACAAAUUCUUAUUGCACUUUGUCAAUCACAAUAUAAAGGAAUCUUUUUCAUAUUAAUUGCAUAAUCUCGUAAUUGACUUUGAAUCCAAAUUAUUUGUGAUGUACACGCAGCAGCAGCUACAUAUUCAGCUUCAGCGGUUGAUAUUGAAACACAUGUUUGCUUCUUCGAUUGCCAACUGACCAACUUUCCAUCUAGCAAUUGACACCCACCAGUUGUGCUUUUACGAUCAAGACCGCAACCUCCAAGAUCCGCAUCUGAAUAAGCUUGUACAAAGAACCCUGUUUUCGAAGGAUACCACAAUCCUAACGAAGUAGUGCCUUUCAAAUAUCGGAAAAUAUUCUUUACUGCAGUCAGAUGUGGUUCUCGUGGAUUUGAUUGAUACCUUGCACAAUUACAAACAGAAUACAUAAUAUCAGGUCUACUUGCAGUUAAAUACAAUAAAGACCCAAUCAUGCUUCGAUAUAAAGUAAUAUCAACAGCAGAUUUAUCUAACGAAGGAGUUAGUUUUAUGCCCGUUGCCAUUGGUAUUCGUAACCUUGUGCUAUUCGUCAUUCCAAACUUUUCCAACAAAUUCUUCGUAUAUUUCUCCUGAUUAAUGAAGAUGCCUUCCCUGUUUUGACGAAUAUUCAAACCCAAAAAGUUAUUAAUUUUGCCCAUCAUACUCAUUUCAAAUUUGCUUUUCAUCAGAUCUUCGAAUUCUUUAGAUAAAGUAGGGUCAGUUGAGCCAAAAAUUAUAUCAUCAACAUAAAUUUGAACAAGCAUCAGAUGAUUUCCAAUUUUCUUUCGAAAUAAAGUAGGAUCAACUGAGCCUUGUUUAAAUUUAGAUUGUUUCAAAAAUUAUGUUAGAGUUGCAUACCAUGCUCUUGGUUCUUGUUUUAACCCAUAUACAGUUUUAUCUAGAAUAUAAACAUGAUCAGGAUGUUCUGAGUUUAUAAAACCUGGAGGUUGUUCAACAUAUAUCGUUUCUUCAAGUUCUCCAUUUAAGAAUGCACAUUUGACAUCCAUUUGAUAGACAUCAAAAUCUUUAUGAGCUGCAAAAGCCAGAAAAAUACGAACAGCCUCGAGUCUUGCAACAGGGGCAAAUGUUUCUUCGUAAUCAAUUCCUUCUUGUUGAGAAUAUCCUUUAACAACAAGUCUAGCUUUAUUUCGAAUAAUGUUUCCAUCUUUGUCAGUUUUGUUUUUAUAAAUCCAUUUGAGUCCAACAAUUGACACAUCAUCAGGUUUUGGAAUUAAUCUCCAAACCUUGUUUCUUUCGAAUUCAGACAAUUCAGCUUGCAUAGCAACAACCCAAUCAGAGUGUUCCAUUGCAACCUUAACUGUCUUUGGUUCGAUUUUGAAAAUAAAAACAUUAAACAUGCAUAAUUCUUUAUGAUUAUUCAGUACCUCAUUUCGUACUUUAAGUUGUGCUCUUGUCAUUAUACCUGCUUGUGGAUCACCAAGAAUUUGAUCUUUUGGAUGAUUUCUUGUCCAUUUAUCCAAUGGUGGAUAAUUAGGAUCAAAAUCCAAAAGUGCAUCUUCGAACGUAACAUCUGUUUCUGAUCCAUUUAUCGAAAUUUAAUCAUCAGCAUCAUCAAAAUAUUCUUCUUCAAGAAUUGGAUCAUUCUCAAGUAUGGGCUCCCCCUCGAUGAUUGACUCCGUUUCGAUAUUUUGCUCUGGUUCACUGAUCGGCUCUUCUUCAAGAGUUUUCUCCUCUUCGACAUUAACAUUUGUUGACAUGUUAUCUCUUUCACUAUAACUCUCCCCCUCAACAAAAGUAUUUGAAUCCAAGUGCUCCCCCUCCACUGGAUCAUCAGCUUGUUCAUUUGGGUUUAGAUUCAAAUUUGAAGUUGAAUCAUUGUUAUACUUCGAAUUUUCUGAUGUUUGAUUAUCAGUUGCAUUUCUUUCUGCGUCAAUUGCUUGAUCUGAAAUACCAAAUCGAAUCAUAAUCAACAUCAUCCAUAUCAAUUGAGUCCUCUAUAUUUGAAGAAUUUUGCAAAAUAGGAUAAUUUGCAAAUUUAUGAUUAGACUUUUUAAUGUAUUGAUCAUCAAAUGUCAAAUUAAAAGUUUCUUCCACUUUACGAGUUCGCUUAUUUAACACUCUAUAAGCAACUGAAUUGUGUGAGUAUCCCAAGAAAAUUCCUUCAUCUGCUUUUGUUUGAAACUUCGAAAGAUUAUCCUUAAGAUUCAAUAUAAAACACCUGCAUCCAAAAACAUGGAAAAAUUUGACAUUAGGUUUUCGAUUAUUGAUGAUUUCAUAAGGAGUAACAUUAAACCGUCUAUGAAUGAAUGAUCGAUUUUGAGUAAAACAAGCAGUUGAUACAGCUUCAGCCCAAAGAUAUUGAGGUAAAUUCGAAUAAGCCAACAUUGUUCUUGCAGCUUCACAUAAUGAUCGAUUUCUUCUCUCAACUACACCAUUUUGUUGUGGUGUAUAAGGAGAUGAAAAAUUAUGCGAAAUUCCUUUUUCCACCAGAAAUGAAUCGAAGACAUGAUUUUUGAAUUCAGUUCCAUGAUCACUUUUAAUUUUUCGAACUGUCUUCUUCAAUGAAACUUCCAUCUUUUUGAUAAAAUCAAUCAUCAUUUGUGGAACUUCGGAUUUUAACCUGAGAAAAUAAACCCACGUGAAUCUUGAAAAAUCAUCUACAAUUACCAAAAUGUACCUUUUCUUGUUAAGAGUAGCAACUGUUGAAGGACCACAUAAAUCAAUAUGCAAGAGUUCAAGGGGUUCAACAAUCUUCGAAUCUAUUGUGAUAGGAUGACCUUGUUUGUGUUGUUUUCCUACUUCACAAGCUGCACACAAACUGUCAUUAUCAUAUUUAAGAAUGGGUAAACCUCUUACCAGAUCUUGUAUGACAAGUUUGUUGAUGUUUCGAAAAUUGAGAUGUGAUAAUCUCCUGUGCCAUAACCAGCUAACAUCAGCAGCAGCCUUCGAAAGUAGACACACAGCAGGUUUGCCUACAAUAGGAACAAUAUCCAAUGUAAACAUAUCACCUUUUCUUUUUGACUUAAGUAAAACUUCCUUAGUCUUGACAUUCGAAAUGACACUUCCUUCUUCAUUAAAAAGAACUUGAUUGCCAGUGCCCACAACAAGUUGUGAAACACUUAUCAAGUUGUGUUGCAAACCUUCAACAAAUGCAACUCUGUUGAUAGUGAAAUUUCCAUUCGUUAUCUUCCCAUAACCCUUGACUUUGCAUUUGUGAUUAUUACCAAACUUAACCACUCCUCCAUUUUCUAGGCUUCGAAAAUCACGCAAGUUUUCCUUCUUCCCAGUCAUGUGACGUGAGCAACCGCUAUCAAUAUACCACUUGUUAUCAUAUUGCUCGUCACAAAGUACCUGCAAUCAUUGGAAAAAUUUAGGUACCCAAGCUUUGUUGGGUCCAUUCAAAUUAGGUUUGUGAUUCAAUUGUAAAGUACAACCAUUAACCCAAUCAUAUACUUUGGUUUUGANUGUAAUUCCUUUUGCAUAUGAUACUUUGUCAGCUUGUUUCUUCACAGGAUUAUAACAUUUUGCUGAAUUUGGAACAUAAUCAACUUUUGGUUUUGAAAGAUAUGAUUCAUGAUAAGAUGUCUUGUUUUGUAACUUUGAAGUCUGUGUUGCAACCUUUUUCUGAAAAAAAUUUCUUGGUAUUGUUGUUUUUGUUCCAUUUGAAACUUUUGAUUCCUUAUUUGAAAAUGAAGCAUUUUUCUUUUCAAAAAUUUGAGACUUUGAUUUUUCUUUAAAAGCUUUUCUUCUAUUUGAAAAUUUUGUUGAUAUCAUUUUUGAUGGCUCAACAGUUUGCCAAAAAAUUGUUUUUCUUGCUUGACGUUUCGAAAUAUUAUUUUCCUUUGAAAAAUUUUCAACUUGAGCUUUAAAUUCUUUUGAAUUUAAUUUUAUUGCUUUGUUGAUUGUUUUAACAUUUGUUUUAACACCUUCGUACUUUGUAAACACAUUUUCAGUUGAAACAACUUCCUUCUUUUCAACUUUUUACUUUUCAAUCCAUACUCUUUUUGAUUUUUGAUGUUGAAAUUUAUAUGAAUUCUUUGUAAGAUUAUUUUCAACUGUACUUUGAUUUGAAAAGAAUCCUUCAUUUGAAGUUUGCAUAUUGUCUUCCUCAACCAACUUUUUGAAUUCAUGCUUUAUAUUUUCAACAUUACCUGUGGUUACGAAGACUUGAUUUGGGAACACAAUAUCAUCAGUGCAUUUGAAGAUUGGAUAAACAACAAUAUUCGAUUCAAGAUAAUGAGCACCUUUUUCACUAAGAAUUUUCUCAAAUUCUUGUGUAUCCAAAUAGACUUGAUCAACAACCACUCGAGGAAUUUCAAUUUCUUUCGACCUUUGAAUUGUCUUCGAAUUUGUAUUUUCUUCCUCAAUGUCACUAUCAUCGGUUUGACUCUCAUGUAUUUCCACAAACUCCAUAUCACAAACUUUCGAAGUUGAGGGUUUAUCAGUUUCAAUUUUUAUUAAUAAAUCUUCACAUUUUUCUUUCCCUUUAAAUGAAUUUGCUACAUUUAUGACAGACAAUUGAGAACAAUCUACAUCUUCUAAAUCACUAAUUUCACUAAUAUUAUCAGAAUUAUCUUCAAUAUCAGCAAUAUUAGUUUCACAAUUAGAUGUAGAAUUCUCAGUCUUUUUCAAAAUUCGAAGUUGUUCUGAUUUAGUUAAGGUUUCAUUUACAAUUUUUACUAAAUCAUUAGCAUCAAGAUAAUCUUCGACUUUUGCAAUUCCAUAUCUAAACCUAUCAUCUGGAACUUUGUUAAAAUCAGAAAUUUCUUUUUCACAAUCAUAUGAAAUACUAUCAACCUUAGCUCUAUCAUAAGCUAAAAAUGGUAGUAAUUUUCUAUGUUGUUCCUUACUUAUUUCACACGAAUGAUGUAACUCAGUUAAUUUUCCAUACAAUCUUUUUGCUGAAUUACAGAAAAUAUUUCUUUGUGCUAACAACAAGUUUAUUUCUUUUGCUAAUUUUUCUCUAUCCUCCAUGAUAUUUGAAACUUGUAAUUCUAAGUAAUCAAUCCUAGUGACUUUUGAAUCCAACAUUUUUCUUGUCUCUAGUAAUUGAUCACUUAACUUUUUCGCUUCAUUGCUAGCAGACACAAUGAUUGAAUCAAAGUAAGUAACAGUUUCAUCAAAAGAUACUAACUCAGAAUUAUAUGCAGAAACUGGAAUGUUAAAAAUCAAGAAUNAUUCAAGAAUGUUACGUACCUUGGUAGUCAUGGGCGACCUGUCAGUAGACUUCGAAACGAAGCAUUGCCCACACACUUCGUCAGUCUGUUCAUCAUCUGAAUCCUCUUCCAUCUUUGCAUACAUAGCUCCAUGAGUUGGAUUUUUCAUCUCUUCAUCAUCUGAACCCGAAGACCAUAUUUGAUAUGUGCCAUCCGAUUCAGUUUCUACAUGAGCCACCAAUGACAAAUUCUUUGCUUUCUUCUUUACUUCCUCCAGUUUCUCAGUGUAGUAAGCUUCAUCCUUUGUUUUACUUUUCUUUUCUUCCUUCUUCCUCAACAAGCAAUCUACUGCCAAAUGAUUUGCUCCAUAGCAAUAAUGGCAAUUAAUCCCUGUAUCACCUUUCAAUAUCAUCUUCAUUUGCUCCAUCUCAUUCUUCGAAUAUGUCUUCAUUUCUUUUUUCUUUUCAUCCAGUUUGUUUUUGUUCUCAAAACUACCCUUCGAAUCUGAUGACUUCUUUGGAUUAAAAGGUUUCUUAAAAAAUUUCUUUACUCUAUUGUUUGAGUAAAAUGCAACAGCCUCAUCAUCAGAAAACCUUCUUCUUCAUCAUACUUUGAUUUUUCAUUCUCUCAUUCUGAAACCUUCGAAACUAGUGUCAGUGGUCCACCAAGACUUGCUAUUGUUUCCUCACCUAUUUCAUUAACUUCAUUUUCAUGAGAUUUUAGUUGAUUGUACAAGUCAUUCAAAGUCGAAGUAUCAAAACUUUGUUGAUUUUUCACCAUCAUACUCACACUUCUCCACUCCUUUCGAAGUCCCAUUACAAAUAUCAAAUUGUACUCCAUUGGUGACCUUAUUAUACUAUAACGAUUACAACGAUAGAUUAACUCGUUGAACCUAUCAUAGUAUGCUUCAAUAGACUCAUUUUCUUUUUGUCUGAAAUCUUUGAGUUCCACCAGGCAUUGUUUCACAGAUGUGAUCUUCGUCUUUUCACUUCCUUGAAAUUUGUCUUUGAGAUUGUUCCAGAUUUCUUUAGCUGUUGUGCAUGUUCUGACAUAAUUAUACACAACAGGAGGCAGAGCACCUCUUAAUUCCCUCAUGCAUUUCUUCUCCAGUUGUUUUAAACGAUUGGUUUGAUUAUCAACUUCCGAACUGCUUGAAGACAUACCGAUUGGCUGAACUUGUGCAGGUUGAUUGAUUUCUCCUGAGAUGCAUUUCCAUAACUCUUCAUCUAAUCCGUUCAAGUAAUCUUCCAUCCUAUCUGCCCACUGAUCAUAAUAUUCUAGAAUAAGCAUUGGAAUUUUUGUGGAUGAUCCAAGCAAAUGAGAAAAUGAUGUCAUCGAAUUCAGAUUGAAUGACGCCAUUGUUGUACGGACAAAAACUUCAAGAUGAUACUAAACUUUUGAGAAAUUUGAAAUCAAAUUGUAUAAUUCAAAUCAGAAUCACACAACGAACACUCGAUUAACAAAUAUUUUCGCAGAAUCAAAUCCUAGAUUGAGAUCAAGAAGAAUUUUUCAAUUUCAAAAACGACGGAAGCUUUUCGAAUCAAACAGUAGAUUCAAAAACCUUUUUGAUCGUAUGAAAAUUAGAUCACAGAAAGGAUUGCUGCUCUGAUACCAAUUGAAGAGAUUUGUAAUCGAGUUUAAUGAUCAAUUCACGUAAGAAUUAAGAAAGAUGAAAAAGAUGAACACGAGAGUAAAUAUAAUCUUUGUUCAUCUCAUAUUAUGCUUUUAAUUUUACAGAGUACAAAGGAAUUCUCUGUAAAGACUGUUUUCAAAAGUUCUCAACUCACUUAGUACAGACCCCUAUUUAUAGGAGAACAAAAGCAUAACAAAAUACUAAGGAGUAGACAUUAAGACUAUUCAUUAUAAUUCCUUAGUAAAAAUAACAUUACAUCCGAAGACACUACUUACGUAUACUUAAGAUCCUUCGUAACAACCUAACUAACACUUCGACAUAUUACAACAUUUAUACCCUUACAUACUACUAUCUGACUGCUUUACUAACUACUAUUCCGAGGACAUCCUGACUAUCCCUAGUCCUUCUAGUGAUUCCUCAUCUUGAUUUCUCAAAACCAGCCCUCAGUCAUCAAGUGCUGCAUCAACCUCGAACUCUUAUAUCCUUGAUACACUUAGCGUUCCGUCGAGGAAUUCUUCAGCUUGGUUCCUAAACCAACCGUCUACUAAUCCGGAUACAUGAAACUAUCUUUGGGAAGUUUCCAAACCCCCAACUCCUGAAUCCACACAACCCUGCAUGUCGUCUCUGCCACUGACUACUAACACGAAAUCAUCUCUUGCUAACCAUUCUCAAGAUCCUCAUUCGGACUCACUAGAUACUAACCAUCUCGAUUACAUGAACUAACUGUUGGGAAGUUCCUAAAACUCCCAAUCCUGUACUCCUCAAUCCAUCCAUCACUGCACUACUAUCUUUUCUUCUCAGAGGUCGUGUACUCAUUCUGGGUCUGCGUGCUCUUACCCUUGUAUACUCGGAGGGUUCUCCCUUACUUGGAUCUGGCCAACCUUCUUUCCAUUAAAAGGGCGAUCUGCUGCCCGCCAACGUUUACCUCUGUCGGCGCUCCAACUACCUUUUACCAGAUCCGAACCAUUCUUGCUAUCUAACUAAGCACCUUUCAAUCCUUAACUAUAUUUGCUUUAGCGACUGCAUCUUGAGAACCUGUGUUUGGGGUGCACAUCCCCAACCCACUUCCCUACUGUCCGUUGGCUACCUCACUAGAAGCUCUAAAUUGUCACUACUAAUGAUUUAACUGAUCAAUCCCGAAUGACACCUUUCGAAAGUAGUGAAGCAUUACUGAUUCUUACACAUACAUGCUACAGUCACCGAAUCUUAAGUAUCCUAAUCUAGAGGGGACGACCUCCAAUUUACCAUUCUAAUUCCAAGGUAUGCAGAUGGUAUAAAACUUCGUCACAAGCAAGUAAUAUAAUACCCCAACACAUAUGCUUAUUGAUAUUAAUGCAACAACAUAACAAUAAUAUCAUGAAUAAUAAUUGACAGGAAGGUAAAAGAUACGUACCCCCAACAUCCAGUGUUGCACGAAUCCUUGUUGAAAUUAUCCGGAAUACUCUGCUCCGAGCCGUGGGUGCCCUUGCCCGGCCCUGGCAACCGCUGGUGGUACUCGAAGUCAUAGGGGCAGGAGCUAUCACCUGUUAUGUUGUAUACAAACUCGGACAGUGGGCCUUCUUGUGGCCCCUCCGACUACAAUGGAAACAUAUCGGGUCAAGUUCCUGGGCGAUGGUAACAGUACAAUCUCUACAAAAAUGGUCAAUCCGGCCGAACUUGAAACAUCCAACAUCGCCACCACUUCUAUGCCUGCACGCACCCUUGUGCGUCCUACCACACUUCCCACAUCGACUGCAGCUCUAAUAGUCCCUCGAUCUCAAAUCCGACCCCUUAGGCAUCUUGCCCGAACCUGUGGCUACCUGUGUCUCAUCCAUUUUCCUCUUCCUUUCCGACUCCCUGCCCGUCUCUCGCUCCUGCGUUACCUCGUCGACCCCAUCCAUCGUCUAAACAACCAUUGUCUGAUCCUGGAGCUUCGCGGUCAACCUAUCAGUGAUCCUCACGACCAUGUUGGGCUGCUCCCCGCGAAUGGAUCGUGAAACCUCCUCAACUAUCCAAUCAUGCAGAGGUCUCUCUUGGAGACAGGGUGCCCCACUCACUCCUGUCCCCUAAUGGCAAAAGCUAGAAAAGGGAUCUCCCUCCCUGAUGGAUCCCUGAAUUCCAUAAGAAUCGGGUUCUAGACGAGCCCCAAUCUGUCCUAAAACUAUCCCAUCCCUAAAGGCCUCAAGAUGACUGUCCAUAAGCUCCACGAUGGCCUCUCUAACCGAACCGAAAAGCACUGGAGUCUGAUCAAUGAUGUUACGCAAUAUUUCUGCAGAAAUGAAAUCCCUCAUCUGAUCAUCAAGUUGCCCGGCUCCAGAGCCCGAGCCAGAUCCCUCCCCGGUACUUGAACUGCUAACUGGUAACUCACGCAAUGUCACCAAGAUGAAAAUAUAACACUUCCAGAUCAAUAUACACAUCGUUGUUGAGGGAUCUCUCACACACUCUACAAGUUCCCUGGUCUUGUCUCGGCCCCUCUUGAUUUGAGUACAGAUCCUGUGCUUUCAGUAGUNUGCCCCACUCACUCCUGUCCCCUAAUGGCAAAAGCUAGAAAAGGGAUCUCCCUCCCUGAUGGAUCCCUGAAUUCCAUAAGAAUCGGGUUCUAGACGAGCCCCAAUCUGUCCUAAAACUAUCCCAUCCCUAAAGGCCUCAAGAUGACUGUCCAUAAGCUCCACGAUGGCCUCUCUAACCGAACCGAAAAGCACUGGAGUCUGAUCAAUGAUGUUACGCAAUAUUUCUGCAGAAAUGAAAUCCCUCAUCUGAUCAUCAAGUUGCCCGGCUCCAGAGCCCGAGCCAGAUCCCUCCCCGGUACUUGAACUGCUAACUGGUAACUCACGCAAUGUCACCAAGAUGAAAAUAUAACACUUCCAGAUCAAUAUACACAUCGUUGUUGAGGGAUCUCUCACACACUCUACAAGUUCCCUGGUCUUGUCUCGGCCCCUCUUGAUUUGAGUACAGAUCCUGUGCUUUCAGUAGUACGGGCCCAUACUACCUUCCACAUCUAUCCAUACUUUCCUCAAGAUUUACCUUAACUCCACCAAGUCACUCUCCUGCUACUAACUUCCUAGGCUUGCCAUAGGGAACCUCUGAAUCCACCCAAACCAGUCCUCAGUUGCUGAAGGCCUCCUUGUAAUGCCAAUUAGCCACCACCUGAAUAUCAUCACAUGCAAUGAGGAUCGGAUAAUCCAUCGAGUAAAAGACUCGUCCCUACAACGGUUAGACUCAGACGAGAGCUGCACAAUAGGGUCAAAUCCGACACUCUAAGAUUAUUCAACCCUGACCACAUGUGACAUGACGUAUUCACCUAAUGGUUAACUCCUUUCACUCAGAGUCACAGAAAGCACAAAGCAAGCAGCAUUAGGAUAGAGGAAACAUACUCAUGUAAAACUAUUCUCAUCACAAGAAACUGUACAAGCAUAUGAUGCUAAGCUCAUACCAUCAGGCAUAACCUACACAAGCUAUCCUACUAAUGUCUACCCAAUACUAGCAUGCAAUUCUUAUCAAGCUUAAACACAUAAAGUAGGCACAUAAGGCAUCCUCCUAGAUCCUUAGUCCUAUACUAGCAUGUUGUUCUACUGAAACUGAAACUGAACUGAUCUGAAACUGAAACUAAAAAUGAUAACAUAAACUUGUAAUGGUAAUUGGCGAGUACUUACUUGAGCUCGGCUGAUUGCAUGUACCACACCCUUUUUCUCUUUUCAAAGUUCUUUUCUUUGUAAAAAAAAUAUUUUUGCUUUUUCUAAAACUCUUUUCUUUUCUCAAACUCCUUUUUACAAAAAUUGAUUUUCCUUUUGAAAAUUUCUAUACUAAUUCCUUAGUUUGAGUUUAGACACACCCGAAGGUGUGCCCGAAUCCCUCAAACCAAGGCUCUGAUACCAACUUGUAACGACCCAAUUUUCACGACUAAAAAUUUCUUUUAAAACAUUACUAAAACCAUAUUUAUAAAAACCGUUUCAUAAGUCAUAACAUAAUUUCAUAGUAUUAAUUCAAAUCAUAAACUUAUUAUCAGAGUAAAACAUCCCAGGCUAACUGACCAUGGUGUGUGCACUGCAACCUCUCUGAGCUCCUCCUUUGAAAACUGAGUACCUGAAACCAAAAAUUGAAACCAUAAGCACGAAUCUUAGUGAGCUCCCCUAAACUACCACAUACCAUACAAACAUAUAAAGCAUAUAUUGGGCCUUGCCUACUACAUCGGACCGAGAUCCGGACUAACUGGGGCCUUGCCCUUGCAUCGGACCGAUGUCCGGAACGGAGUGGGACAAGCGAAGUCCGGGCUAACUGGGGCCUUGCCUCCUGCAUCGGACCGAAGUCUGGAAACUGACUGGGACCUUGUCCCCUGCAUCAGACCGAUGUCCGGACUAACUGAGGCCUUGACCCCUACAUUGGACCGAAGUCCGGAAACUGACUGGGACCUUGUCCCCUGCAUCGGACCGAAGUCUGGACUAACUGCAUCGAACCGAACUCCGGAACUAACUCAACAUAGCAUACCAUAAACGUAUCAACUAGCAUGAACACAUAUACUGCAUAUUGCAUCGGGUCGUAGCCCGGAACACAUAACACAUAAAUCUUGUCUAAGCCACGAAGGCAUCAAACAUACUAACUACUACAUCGGACUGAAGUCCGGAAACUACUGCUAACUAAAUGGGUCGGCAUUGUGGCCUUAGACCCGUUCCUACUGUAAGGAAACUCACCUGCACUGCUGGAGUUCUUGCUGGUACCCUUUUAACUGCUAUCUGACAACUCCCGGACUGCUACUGCAAUGACUCCCCAAUCUACUAAUACCAAAUAUAACACUUAGUCCCAAACUACCCUUCAACAGUCAAACUUAGUCAGCUCUGGUCAAAGUCAAUCUUCCAGGUUGACCAUACUCGCCGAGUCAGCCUACUGACUCGCCGAGUUCAUAAGCUCAAAAACCCUUUCCUUCUCGACUCACCGAGCCAGCCCAUGACUCGCCGAGUCUACUGAUUUCUGAGUCCAGUCCUGUCCAACUCACUAAGUCUCCACUCAACUCACUGAUUCGAUUCUUAACUCGAAGGGUUUGGGGUUUUGCGACUUGACUAGCCGAUUCCAAGGCAAUCUUCAACAGACUCGCCGAGUUGUUCAUCCAACUCGUCGAGUUCAUCUCCAUCUUCAUACUACUCGCCGAGUCCACUCAAAGGACUCGCCGAGUCUAUUCAGUCCUUCAUACAUUCAGGGGCUUUUUGAGUCAUGCAGGGACUCCAAACUGUAGAUCCACUCUUCCAAAGCCUAUUCCUCACGUAAAGUUGCAAACUUUACGUAUAGCUAAGGAGUUCUAGGCCCAAAACACUCCAAACUAGGGUUUAAGGAAACCAUGCUUCACUUACACCCUCAAGACUGAUACUUUAUGACUCUCUAGACCAAAAUACACUUAGAUCUGAAGUAGCAACUUCAGAUCUGGGCUCUAACUCGAAAUGGUUCUUAAACAUGGCAUAAAAACCCCAAAUCUCACAACCAAGGGAAACCUAUAUUCAAAAGAGUGAAGGUAAUGACUUAUUACCUUCAAAUGCUCUGGAAAGGCCCUCAAACUAUGGAUCUACUGCAAAUCCUUGAAUCCCCAAUGGUGUCCUUCCUCCCUUCUUCUUCAAAUCACCCAAAAAUGGCAAGAAACUUGAACGAGUAAUAAUGGAGGCUUAGGGUUUUGGGUUCUGGAUGAGAGAGGCUAUAAGGAACCAUAAUGGAGAGAAUAAGAUGCAUAAAUAGUGCCCAAAGUCCUGGAUUUAGGGUUUCCCUCUUCAGACCGGACUCGUCGAGUCCAUGAGGCCGACUCGCUGAGUUGGUCACUUACCCGAUCCCCCGGUUCCCGUUCCGACUCGUCGAGUUCCUCCUUGGACUCGAUGAGUUGAACCAUUUGACUUACUGUUUUCUUUCCUUUCUUGGUCUUUCUGAUUCUGGUUGUUACAUCUGAGCAAAAAAACACAAACUAAAGUCAUCAGAAUUAUGAUGUCGGAGAUGACCGGCGUUGGACGGUAGAUCUGAACCGGAAACACCUUGGUGAUGUCGUUUUUUGUUGUGGUUCCAGAUUUGAGGAGAAAAAAACAUGAUUGACUUUACAUUUCGACGAAGGCUAAGCAGCUGACGACGGUGGUGUCGGCGGUGGUAGGUGGUGGUGGUAAUAAGGAAUGCGUGUUCUUCAAAAAUGGUGGGAGAGUUUGAAAGAAUUUAUUAUCAUUUGAAAAUAUAGAUCUGAUUUAAUGGUUCUUACGGUUCUUAAUCUUUUUUGGUUCUCAUUUGAACAUUUACCUAUAUAUAUANNNNNNNNNNNNNNNNNNNNNUAUAUUCUAACUAUUCAUUGUGUGAAGGAAGAGUUGGUUGUGAAUCAAUCAUUUUAGUUAUUUUAAGAAAGUGAUUAGUAAAUAUUAUUGAGUUAAAAAUAAUAGAAAAAUAUCAUCUAACUUCAUUGUAAGGGUAUUUUAGUCAAUUAACAUAACUUUAAAAAAGGAAAAUUGCAGACUUUAGGAACAAUUAAUUCUCUUACCUUUAAAAAACUGAUUUUUCUUGACAAUAAUUAUAUUAAUUCGUAUAUUCUAAAAGAAUGUGUUCAUGAUCAUCUUGAAAAAAAAACAUUAUAUUUUGACAUAAUAUUGUAAACAUACAUGAUCAAAAUUAAUAAUUUUUAAUGAAUACAUAUUGUAUAUGAAACAAAAUUUAAUAUUUUAGAAUCAGUAAUUACAUUCAUUCUUAAAGAAUACAAUUAUAAACAUAAAUUACAUGCAUUUUGAAAGAAUCAGUAAUUACAUUCAUUCUUAAAGAAUACAAUUUUGAACAUAAAUUACAUUCAUUCUAAAAGAAUACAACUAAUAACGGUUAACAAUUAAAUUUAUUCUUAAAAGAAUAAAACUAAGAAUGGUUAAAAAUCAAAUAAAAAUAUUGAAAUCUAAGUAAAACACUAAUAUAUUCUAAGAGUAUAUUGUCGCUAAUCCAUUCUGACAGAAUAACAAAUCCAUUUUUGAAGAAUACAUUAUGCUAGAAUAUGCUCUCGUUCUCCAUGUUGUUUUUUCUUUUCUUCUUCAAAACAAAAACCAACAAAGAAAACAUAAUCUACUUUCAAAUACUAAAAAUGUCAUUACAUAUGUGAAACUAGACAUUAACUUGUCAAUUGCUUCAUUAUGAACAUCCUUGAAAUCAUCAUCCAAUAACAUUCUACUCAUGUGCAGCUGGACAACAAUCAAUUGGUGUAAUACCAAUAAUCACAAACUUUCUUGUGUCCAGCUUGUACAAAUUUUGCCAUUUUCACGGCAUGUUUAUACAGAAAUUGCUGAAAAUUCACCAUAAAAAUGCAUAUAUAACACAACCUAGUGAAGAAAAUAGAGAUCUUGAGAUUUUUCUUUAGCUACAUAUUUUUCAUUUACCGCUUUAGUGCUCUGGCGUACUGACGCUGCAUGAGAAUUAUAAUCAUAAAUGAUUAUUCAGCAUCGUCCAUUCUUUCUUCCCCCACUGCCUUCCCCAUCACCAUAACAUGCACCACCACUACAACCACAUUUGNNNNNNNNNNNNNNNNNNNNNNNNNNNNNNNNNNNNNNNNNNNNNNNNNNNNNNNNNNNNNNNNNNNNNNNNNNNNNNNNNNNNNNNNNNNNNNNNNNNNNNNNNNNNNNNNNNNNNNNNNNNNNNNNNNNNNNNNNNNNNNNNNNNNNNNNNNNNNNNNNNNNNNNNNNNNNNNNNNNNNNNNNNNNNNNNNNNNNNNNNNNNNNNNNNNNNNNNNACAUUUAUACUCAUAUAUGAUUAUAUCUCUCUAUUAUAUAAUCAUUCACGAUUAGACAUAUAUCGUUAUUGUCGGUGCGUUGGAGCGUUAGAGUGAAAAAUAAUAAAUAUGUGACUCAGGUAGUGGUAGGCAGUUCGGAACCCACAUGGGGGUCCCGUUAAUAUAUUAUAUGUAUUUGUAUAUAUUAAUUAAAUAAAUAUAAUAAAUAAUAGCAAUGGUUUUAAUACUUAAAAUGUCAAAAAAAUCAGCUUUUUAAGUUGAAAUGUGAUAACAUUUUUGUUUUUUAACAUGUAAAUUAUGUUAUAAAUAACUAUUUUAACCCACAAAAUAGCUUUUUUAUGCCCAAAAUACAAAUUCUUUUAGCCCAAUAAAAAAUAUUACAAAAUAAAUCUGGGAAGGGAAAACAUUGGCGGGGGCGUGGGUUAAUCCAGGAAUUUAUGGAUGGGGUAGGAGAUGCAAUCUCUGUCUAACAUGAUAUUAUCGUUUGUCCCCGUUGACAUUCCAACUCAAAAUUUUUAUCUUUUUUAGAAUUUCAAGUGUAACUUCUCAUGUGUGUGUGUAUAUAUAUAUAUAAUCUCAAGGAACUUUAAGCAAUAAUAAAUUUUUGUGUCUUUAGGUUUUUACUACAAAUAUUUUAUGACUUUGACAUUUUUGGUCGUUAAAAUCAAAACUUUUUAUUUUAGCACUAAAAAAAAUAAAAAAAACUCUUUUAUACUUUUAUCACCAUAUUUUUCAACUUUGUCUUUCACACUAUUGCAACAAUAUUUUUGGAUUUUCUCCAUUAGUAUCUUUCUUUUGGUUAUUGUAUAUUUUUGGCCUCUAAUUUUAGAGGUUCUCAACUUUCUCUGGUAUCCGUGGUGAUUUACACUUUCAACAUAUAUCUUAUAAAGUUUGCCGAUUUUUUUCAUAUUAUCUUAAAAUCGGUGUAGCCGCGAAUGCUUUAAUAAUUUAUAUGCUAUGAUUUAAAUAUAACUCUAUUAAUUUAUAUAAUAUGAUUUAAAUAUAAAUCUAUCUAACAUGAUAUUAUCGGCGAUGCAAGAAAUCUUAUGUCUAUUUAUUGACAGAAAAUAUGAAACAUGCAACAUGCAAUGUUUUGUACUACAAACACUUGUACAUUUUUCAACCGUAAGUUUUGUUCAGGAUUGCAACUUCACCUCACUCCAAUCAUUUCACUCAUUUUUCUGUCUAAAUCUAAUAUAUUGAAACUGUCCAAGUCAAAUAAAUUGAAACUGAUUUUCUUUAUUAUUAGAUAUCUAAAAUACUAAAUUAUAAAUAUAAAAUAAUAAACCAUGUAAAAUUGUUGGCUUUACAUAGUAAUAUCUUGAAGUGUUUGUUAACGAGUAAUUCAAUAAAUUUGGAUUGGAAUAUAUUAUAAUUAAGGAGCGUUUUUAGAUAAUUUCUAAUCAAAUAUUUAGUAGGUUUUUAUUGACAAAAUGAAUAACUGAUUUUUCAUAUUAUAAAAGUUAAUCCUCCUUAAUAAAUAAAAAUAGUCAUUUGUCUUCUUUUCCUUGUUUUGAUACAUAUCAUUUUUUAAGAUUUUUAAAAUUGUUUUUUUCCACUUGUCAUUUUUUGAGAUUUUAAUUUUUUUUUAAAUAAAUUUUCAAAAAAUUUCANNNNNNNNNNNNNNNNNNNNNNNNNNNNNNNNNNNNNNNNNNNNNNNNNNNNNNNNNNNNNNNNNNNNNNNNNNNNNNNNNNNNNNNNNNNNNNNNNNNNNNNNNNNNNNNNNNNNNNNNNNNNNNNNNNNNNNNNNNNNNNNNNNNNNNNNNNNNNNNNNNNNNNNNNNNNNNNNNNNNNNNNNNNNNNNNNNNNNNNNNNNNNNNNNNNNNNNNNNNNNNNNNNNNNNNNNNNNNNNNNNNNNNNNNNNNNNNNNNNNNNNNNNNNNNNNNUAUAUAUAUAUAUAUAUAUAUUAUCAUUCUAUUAAUUUGAUAAAAAAAAUUCAUAAAUACUCCAAAUGAUUUGUUUUCUUUCAUAAAUGCUCCAAAAAAUUAAAUUUUGUUAUGAAAAAACAUUAUUUUAUAAAAUAUUUAAUUUUUACAUAUAUUCAUAUUAAAUUUUAUUUUUAAUAAAAUUCGUGUAAUACAUGGAUCUCACACCUAAUGUGACAUAUAUAGCUUUACUUUUUCAAUUUGUUUUCUAAAAAUGUUUAUAUGUCUAGUGUCCUAUGCAAAGUCUACCAAAAUAUUAACCCAUCUAUACAAUUUCACCACCAUACUAUAAAAUAAAUUAGAUCUUAUAAUUGUUUAAUUAUAAUUUCAAGUUAUAUAUUACCCUGUUUAUACCGCCCUUUUUGUUAUAUACUAAUAAAAACAAAAUAUUAUUUUCAAUAAAAUAUACCAUUAAAUAGUGUUUAUUUUUAACUUUAUAUAUGAAUUCCUAGUAAAUAUGCAUUGAGAACUAAAAAUAUAAAAAGAAAUGUAUUUAUAAACCUUCAAAAAGACUAAGACUAUUUUGUAACAAUAACUAAAAAAAGUGGACUAUUCCUUGUCCAACCCCAGAAUCGUCAUAAAAUGACCAAAGACUUGUAGCCUUGAUGAUUUACUACAUAGGCUUCCGUUUUAUACAAACUAGAUAAAUUAGGUUGCUCGGUGUGGAAUCGAGAAUGUACUCGGUGAUCUCGGCGAACACCGGCCGAGGCCUCGGCAUGCCGAACUCGGCUCGACAACUCGACGAUGGUUCACGGAUGAGAGAUAUUGUAUUUAUAUUUUUUUUACCCAUUAAUUACUCAAACUCUUUUUCAAAAAUUACCUUCUUUUCAAAAAAAAAUACCCAAUUUAAAAAACAUAACGUUUUUUUUUUAAUUUCAAAUUUUAAACACUCCAUUUUCAAUUAUAAAUACCAUCAUCCUUAUUCACUUGUCACCCCAUUUAAAUCUCCUUAAUUCUAUUUUCUUAACUUUCUUAUUUUCCCAUUUUUUUUCCACACGUAAUCACUAUAAAUGACUAUUGUUUGGUCGAUCUUACUUGCUCGUUCAUGGAUUUUUUUUUUGGUUAGGGAUAUUUCGUUUGACAUAAAUAAGCGUGUCGGGGUUUCCGUUAAGAAAGAGGCACCUGUUAAUUUCUUGACUAGCCCGACAAAAGAAAGGUCAACCAUCAGACCGGCUGACAUUUUGAUUUUGGAUGGGCGUACUAAGGAGUACGCUGCGUGUACUCGCGCGCUUAUUUUGUACGCGGAUUCAUCCGGGUACACUGGGCGUACCCAAGGUUACGCCGGACGUCUCUUCGUAAUCUAUCCCUUCCUCCUGACAGUAUCCCUUGACAACCAGACGAGCCUUGUUCCUUAUGACAUUACCUUCCUUGUCCAUUUUGUUUCUGAAGACCCAUUUAAGACCAACAACCGAAGCAUCUGGAGGAGUUGGAAUGAGGCGCCAGACUUUGUUCCUUUCAAACUCAUUCAGUUCGUCUUGCAUCGCUUGAACCCAAUCAGAGUGAUCGAGGGCAGUGUUCACUGUCUUCGGUUCGACUUUUGAUACAAAUGAGUUAAACAUACAAAACUCAACUUUUGAGAAUAAGGAUGUCUGUUUUGCCUUCAGUUGAGAUCGGGUCAGAACCUUGUCAGAUACAUCACCAACUACUUGAGAGAUGGGAUGAUCUCUGGUCCAUUUUGUAAGAGGAGGGUAAUUCGGAUCAAAGGAUGGAUCUAGUUCAGCGUUGAUCAUCUCUUCAGGCUCAGAUUGGCUAUCGAAAUCAAGCGUCAUAUCAUCAUGCUCCCUCUCAAUUGAUGAGUCUUGAGAAACAUGAGUUUCAGGGGUGUCUUGUGGUGCUGGAGUUUCAGGCAUUGAAGCACCUUCGUUUGGAGGGGCACCUUCGGUUGGAGAGGUACCUUCGGUUGGUGAAGGAUCUUCGGUUGAAGUAGUAGAGCUUGGCUCCCCCUGGACUUGUGAGCUUGGCUCCCCCUCGACUGAAGCAUUGUUGGUUGGAGAUUCAUCAGUGGGCGAUUCUCCUUCAUGCAUUCUUCUUGCAGCAUCUUCGACAAUCUGCUUCAUAUGAUCUAUUUUGUUGUCGGCUGCCCCUGCUUCUGAGAGAGAAGCUUUUUCCGGUUCAUCAAAGAGAUCCAGAAAAUUCUCGUACAUAUUGGCGAUUGAGAUUGUGACUUGACCAGUUUGAGGGAAGAUUUCCCUGGCAGUGUCAUCUAUGGCCUGUAGCUUCUUGACAUAGCUAUCGUCGAAGGUCACAUAGUAUGUUUCUUCAAUCCUUCUUGAUCGUUUGUUUAGGACCCUGUACGCCUUUGAAGUGAGUGAGUAACCCAGAAAGAUUCCCUCGUCGGCUUUGACAUCAAACUUGUUGCGGUGUUCUUUAGAGUUAAAGAUGAAACACCUUGAGCCAAAAACGUGGAAAAAUUUCACAUUGGGCUUCCUGUUGUUUAGUAUCUCAUAUGGUGUGAGCGUGAAUCGCUUGUUGAGAUAGGACCUGUUUUGUGUAUAACAAGCAGCAGAAAUAGCAUCAGCCCAAAAAUAUAGAGGUAAGGAAGCGAAACUUAACAUAGUUCGGGCAGCUUCACACAGAGAUCGGUUUCGUCUUUCGACUAUUCCAUUCUGCUGUGGUGUGUAGGGAGCUGAGAAAUUAUGGCUAAUUCCCUUUUCUGCAAGAAACGCUUCAAACUCCCUGUUCUUGAAUUCGAGACCAUUGUCGCUCCUGAUGUUGCGAACGACCUUCUUGAGCUGGACUUCAAUUUGCUUGAUAAACACUUUCAGCUUUUGAGUCGCUUCAGAUUUGAGCUUUAGAAAGAACACCCAUGUAAAUCUAGAGAAGUCAUCAACGACAACAAGAAUGUACUUGCUACCACCGAUGCUUUCAAUAGAUGAAGGACCACAUAAAUCGAUAUGAAGCAAUUCGAGUGGUUCAACAACUUUUGUGUUAACAAUGGAUGGGUGACUUUGACGACUCUGCUUUCCCAUUUCACAUGCAGCACAUAAAUGCUCUCUGUCAAACUUGAGCAAUGGAAGACCCCUAACAUGACCUCCAGUGACAAGUCGGUUGAUAUCUUUGAAAUUGAGAUGAGAGAGUCUUCUGUGCCACAACCAGCUUUCGUCGUAUUGAGCUUUUGAUAGCAGACAAAUUGCUGGGUUUCCUUUGAUGGGUUUCAUGUUCAGCGGAAACAUUUCACCCUUUCGCUCUGACUUCAGAAUCACUUUCUUUGUUGUUUUCUCUAUGAUUUCAGAACCUUCAUCAUCGAAUGAAACUUUGAGACCUGUACCUCCAACAAGCUGAGAUACACUGAUGAGGUUGUGUUGAAGUCCUUCCACAUAAGCCACCUUUCUUAUGGUAAAAUCACCAUUCGUUAUCAUCCCAUAUCCCUUUAUGGUGCCGUAAGAGUUAUUUCCAAACUUAACGUUGCCACCAUUUGCAAGAGAUCUGUAUUCCCUGAGUUCCUCCUUCCUUCCUGUCAUGUGACGCGAGCAGCCACUGUCGAUGUACCAUUCUUCGUCAAACUGCUCGUCACUUAUAACCUGCAAAAAUUAAGCAGAUUUAGGAACCCAAAGUUUCUUGGGUCCAUGUGAGGUUUUCAUGGGAACAGGAAUAGUUAGAGAGAUAUCAACAAGAUAUGUUCUUUUAAUUAAAGUUGUUUCAUCUUUCUUUUUAAUGGUGAAAACUUUUAUUUUGUUAGGAUUGGAUUUGUUCGCUUUAGACUCAGGUUUGAAUUCACCGACUUUCUGCUUUUCCUUCUGUUCAGCAGAUGGACGUGGUUUUUGAGAACCCAUGGAAUUAGUGUUAGAGCAAGAUGGAGAUGAACAAGAAGAAUUAGGAAGAGAGGAUUUGGAUUUGGAUGGAGGUGUCUUCCUUGCUGAUGACUCUAGGUGACCCUUUUGCUUUUGAUCGUUGGUGGGUUUAACUUUUGAGUCUUGUUCUCUUCUGACUUCAGAACUGAACCUCUGAGUUCGGUUGGAGUUGUUCUUGGAACCGAACCUUUGGUUUCGGUUGAAAUCCUUUUCAGAACCGAACCUUUGCUUUCGGUUGGUAUUUUCUUGCGAACCGAACCUUGGCUUUCGGUUGGUAUCUUCUUGCGAACCGAACCUUGGCUUUCGGUUGUUGGAAUUAUCGUGCUUUCUUACGGGAUUAUUUUCAUACUUCAGAUUCUUGUCCUUGUGUGAAUAGUAUGCAUUCUGGGAGUGCCAGAAUUGUUUCCUUUCAGAAAGGUUUUUCCUGUAUCUUAGGUUCCUUUCUAUCUUUUUAUCCCUCAUCUGUUUAGGUUGAUGAUGAACGUUCGCUUUCGCUUUUGAUGUAACCUUUGCUGAUUCCUUUUGAACUUUAGGAGUUUUUCUUUGAAACGAGGGAGCAGAGGGAAUAUCUGAAGAAGAUUCAGUUUGCCCUGAGGAAGUGGAAGGAGUAUCUGAUGAAGUUUCACUUCGAGCUGUUGGCGUUGAAGGAAUGUCUUCUUUUGCCGAAUGAUCACCCUCUUGAGGAGUGUCUUUAGUACCACUUGUGCUUGGUUCACUGAAAUUAUCAGGCUUGUUCAAGGGUUCAGGUAUGUAUCUCCCUUUCUUCAUCCAAGAGGUUCUUUCAGAUAGGCCAACGGUUUCGUUUCCAUUGUCAAUAGGAGCUUCCCAGAAGAACUCAUCACAGCCAUCAGCAUUGUCUUCGUUAACAAUAGCCGUGAGUUCAGCUGUCUGAUGUUCGGUUACUCCAGUCACUUUGUAUACCUGAUUCGGAGUGGUUCUGACCUUUUGAUAGACAACAGCCUUUUCUACUAAUUUCGGGGACUUUUGUUGGGACAAUCUAGCGAAUUCCACAGAAUUUUCAGAAAUAAGAUUUUUGUGGUUUUCAGUUUCGCUUUUCACAAAUUCUGAGCAGUCAACCGUAUCCUCUACAGAAAUUUCACUCAUGUUUUCGUCCUCGUUAAGCUCAGAUGCAUUUUCAACAUCAAUUUUAUUUUCUGAGCUUACUUUGGCAUUUAGAGAGUCAAACUUUUGUAUGGUUUCGGUUCUCAGUUUAAGUCUAUCAUUUUCGUCCAAAAGAUUUUUGAGCAUGUCCUUAUGGUCUUUGGAUUUAAUGAAGGACUCAAUUUUGUCCAGUCCAAUUUGAUAAGAUGGGUUGACAUCAUCAGACGAAAUCACACUCUCACAAUUGUAGACUUCGGCAUCGAUUUCAUCCUCCUUAAAUUCAAGGAAUGGUAGAAUCAUACGAUGGAUCUUUUUGCCUAUCUCACAAUCCAAGUGCAANNNNNNNNNNNNNNNNNNNNNNNNNNNNNNNNNNNNNNNNNNNNNNNNNNNNNNNNNNNNNNNNNNNNNNNNNNNNNNNNNNNNNNNNNNNNNNNNNNNNGUAUGAGCACAUAGGAUGUUCUUAGGACCAAAACCCAUCAGAAUAAGGAAAAAAGGCUUAAGGAGGAGGUUCCUUACCCCUGAAAUGUGCCCAAACAAAAGUAGAUUCCAGAUCUACCCAAACCCCUUGAUGAUGGCCUCCAAAUCCCCAAGCUUCUUACACCAAAAUUCUCUUCCAAGAUCUAAUUCUUUAUCAAUGGAGUCACACACACGAGAUGAGGGUUUCUGGAUCUCAAAUGGGUAGGAAAGUGGUUGAAGGUGGGUUAUAAUGUGCUUUAUAUAGGUCACAAUCCCCUUAUUAGGGUUUUCUCCCUUCAGCACCAACUCGCCGAGUCCAGCCGCGGACUCGCCGAGUUGGUCGCUUAACACGUUACUCGUAAUGCGACUCGANAGAACCGCGACUCGACUCGCCGAGUCUACCCAUCGACUCGCCGAGUUGGCCUUCCUUAUUUACACUAAGAACCUUGAACUUGCACUUCUGAACUCGGGGUGUUACAAUUCACCCCCACUUAAAUUAGGCUUCAUCCUAGAAGCCUGCAGCAACACAUAUCCAGAUAAUACUCCCACAUUACAGCUCCUGGUCUCAACCGACUCAGUUUCCUUCAAAUAUUGUUAACAAAUCUCAAUAAAACCCAACUCUUCCCUUACAGAGUGAUGAAACUUGCUUCAAACCAACCACCGGCUUCUUCCUUUUAAUGAUAAACACGUCAACUAAGUAUCACCCGAUGAUACUGUUGGGUUUUGAGCAUUCUAACACUCCUAUGGUGUACAUGCAACCCUAUAAACAUUGGAUCUAUGUUUUCUCUAUUAUACAUGCAAAUAAGAACUUUCCAAGGCUUUAAUCCUAACUAGCAUAUUAUGAAGCUCUUAUACUACAAAGUACUAGUUAGAUGACAUACCUUUUGAUGUAGCUUGAUGUCUUCAAGCUUUAAGAGCUUAGCCCCAAUAGUGUGGGAGCCUCAAGUGGAAUCACAAAUCACUAAAAACACCUUAGAAGACUUUAACAAUAAGAAUACUUUGGUUCUCUCUAGUGAAAUCAGCUAACCCUCUUAGUAUACCCACACUAGUGCCAAUUUCACCAACCAAUGACAUCUUUAUAUACUGUGGAGACUAGGGUUAAACCCAUGACCUUUCAUUUAAUAUGAUCCAUGGGUUAAUCACUCCAUGGACUAUCCAUGAAAGCUUAGCCCAAACUAAAUGAACUUGGCCCAUUCCAUAUAUAUAUAAGAGUCUAUAUUUAAUUAGUUCAUUUUGAUCACUUAAUUAAUUAUAAAUUAAUUCUUGAUCAAUACUAAUUAAAUAAUAUGAUUGCAUAUUAAUAUAUUAGAACUUAUAAUAUAUUAAUAUAAAUCAUAAAUAUACUAUUCUCAAAAGACUAUCCAUAUAAAUUGUGUCGGUGAAGUGCAACCCAAAUGGACCAUGUCGGGUCGGGUCAAGUACAUACCAAAUAUAGUUAUGGACUUAGACAUUAAUCCAACAGUCUCCCACUUGGAUAAGUCUAAAACUAUUAUUGCGUAUGACUUCAAACCUAACUGGCAAUCGUAGCUCUUAAAGCUGCUGUCGAACUCUGAUCUUGUCAACGAACUUGUCCAUUAGAUAAGGGAUCAUAUAUUCCUCCAUUCUAGAUAUCAUAUGGACUGAGACAUGGAUUAUAAUCAUUCUCUCUGUCCAUUUGUUGUUUCCCGAUUUCCGAUUCAUGAAGACUGACUGAUUGAACAAAUCAAAUCAAUCCUAGCUUGGCCAAGCACUCACAUGUGUCAUCAUUGAAUCAUCGAGGGGCCCACAAAUAUCUCUUUUAUCCCGAAGGUAAAAGGAAUGGAUAAACUUCGAAUCAUAUGGCCUGUUCUACUACUUGUUGAAUCAUAUACAAAGGCACGUUUUAUAACAUCGUUACCAAUGCGUUUUCGUGCAAUCAAUGUACUAUCAACUCAUAGUAACAACUCAUAUCUCUAGGUUUGAAGAAUAUAAGAUAUUAUCGUCUCAUGAUCACUCGUGAUAAAAUCCAUGAAGUGAUUCAAAUGAGCGCGGGUUGAAUCCAAUACUCAGAACUUACGAGCACUCAUGAGUGUUGUAGCACAACUUUGUCCACUAACUUGGACCUCUACAAGCCAACCCAUGACAAUAUUGAUUCAUAUCUACUUCCAACAUAUGAAUGACUGUGGAUGGUUUGAAUCACUUACUUAUUCCGAAAGAAUAACCUAGUUAUUAUGGAAGUCAAAACAUGCAAAGUGAAACACAAGAAUAAAUGAAUCUAAUAUGGUAUCAAAACCUUUGAAUAUAAAUAAAACACUUUCUAUUUAUCACCAUAUUGAUUACUCAUUAUUCAUUGUCUCGGUUUUAUCAACUUUAUACUUGAAUUAAAACACUAGGUGUCCCAUGCUCCAAGCAUAUACACUAUGUUUUCUAAACAAUAGCUUUGUUAUACACCAAGUAUGAACUCUAUGUUUGUCUAUGAUCCUUUUUCUUUGUGAAUUAGAUCAAUUGAACAUAAUUUCAAUGAUUCUCUUUUCAGACUCCCAAUUCCUUGUCUUAAAUGUAAGAAUUCCAAAUUCCUAUCAUUUAUCGAAAUCUGUUUAGAUUUUAAACUUAUAUGCAUUGUUCCUAUUGUAAUGAUUAUGCACAAAGCCACAAAGGCUUGGCAACAAUCAUUAUAAGAUAUUCCAAUGGAGAUCAACUCCUUGGAAACUAAGUCUCAUAUUCAAAGUACAUUGCCUUGAAGAUAAAAUAACACAACUAAUCUGUUAAAUAUGUCGCGAGAAAUAGAAAAAUCACUAAUAAUAACUACUUCGUUAGUAAAAAGAAACUAAAGAUUUCAUUUCUAAAAAUUCAC
rnacentral:lncRNA from 1 species